rnacentral:lncRNA from 1 species
UCUUAGAGUUCUGGUGGAGAUGGUGUUUUGUAUCAACUUCCAGAUAUCUGUCAUAUAUUUUCAUUUUACCUUGCAGCUGCCAAAACGACCAGAGUGGCCAAGUGACUUGCCAUUAACUCCCGAGUGGUGGGAGAAUCCAGCUCACCCAUUUCAAGUCCAGCCUCCCGCCCUCUAUGCCACAAUGGUUAUACUAUUCAGCAUUCAAACGUCAUGACAGACUGGCCUUUCACUGUUCUGCCAAGCGUGAGGAAAGACCAAAGCAGUCCGUUUGGGAAAGCAAAAAGCAGAAUUCUUCCUAACCUGAUAAAAUAUUUU